rnacentral:rRNA from 1 species
GCUUGUCUCAAAGAUUAAGCCAUGCAUGUCUAAGUAUAAACAACUUUAUACUGUGAAACUGCGAAUGGCUCAUUAAAUCAGUUAUAGUUUAUUUGAUAAUACCUUACUACUUGGAUAACCGUGGUAAUUCUAGAGCUAAUACAUGCUAAAAAUCCCGACUUCUGGAAGGGAUGUAUUUAUUAGAUGGAAACCAAUGCGGGGCAACCCGGUAUAUGGUGAUUCAUAAUAACUUUCGGAUCGAUCUUCGGAUCGAUGCAUCAUUCAAGUUUCUGCCCUAUCAGCUUUGGAUGGUAGGGUAUUGGCCUACCAUGGCUUUAACGGGUAACGGAGAAUUAGGGUUCGAUUCCGGAGAGGGAGCCUGAGAAAUGGCUACCACAUCCAAGGAAGGCAGCAGG